UACCAACUCCAGAGGGUAAACUACCCACUCCAGAGGGUAAACUACCAACACCAGAGGGUAAACUACCAACUCCAGAGGGUAAACUACCAACUCCAGGGGUGUAGAGGGUAAACUACCAACUCCAGAGGGUAAACUAUCAACUCCAGGGGUAAACUACCAACUCCAGAGGGUAAACUACCAACUCCAGGGGUAAACUAUCAACUCCAGGGAUGUAGAGGGUAAACUACCAACUCCAGGGGUAAACUACCAACUCCAGGGGUAAACUAUCAACUCCAGGGAGGUAGAGGGUAAACUACCAACUCCAGGGGGUAAACUACCAACUCCAGGGGUAAACUACCAACUCCAGGGGUGUAGUGGGUAAACUACCAACUCCAGAGGGUAAACUACCAACUCCAGGGGUAAACUAUCAACUCCAGGGAUGUAGAGGGUAAACUACCAACUCCAGGGGGUAAACUACCAACUCCAGGGGUAAACUACCAACUCCAGGGGUGUAGUGGGUAAACUACCAACUCCAGAGGGUAAACUACCAACUCCAGGUGUAAACUAUCAACUCCAGGGAUG